rnacentral:tRNA from 1 species
AUUCUAAGCCCACAUAUGAUUUCGGCUCAUAUAAAAACAGAUAAAACUGUUUUAGAAUU